UCAAAUUUGAAAUCUGGCGUCUUCGACGUCCGAGUUGUAAUUUGAAGAAGGUAUCUUUGGAAUUGGCUCUUGUCUAUGUUCCUUGGAACAGGACGUCACAGAGGGUGAGAAUCCCGUGCGAUGAGAUGCCCAAUUCCGUGUAAAGUUCCUUCGACGAGUCGAGUUGUUUGGGAAUGCAGCUCUAAGUGGGUGGUAAAUUCCAUCUAAAGCUAAAUAUUGGCGAGAGACCGAUAGCGAACAAGUACUGUGAAGGAAAGAUGAAAAGAACUUUGAAAAGAGAGUGAAAAAGUACGUGAAAUUGUUGAAAGGGAAGGGCUUGAGGUCAGACUUGGUUUUACCAGGCCAGCAUCAGUUUGGACG
rnacentral:rRNA from 1 species